rnacentral:lncRNA from 1 species
AUGAUGGCGGGUGUUGUCUACGUGCCGGGUGUCGGCCUGGCCGUGGCGCUGCUGGUCUGCCUGAGCGUGGGGACCCCGUCUGGCCCGGCCUCGGACACCUGCGCCACGCUGGAGCAGAGCCGCUUCUUUGGCGUCUUCUCCUCGUCCGCGGCGCUGCCCUCGACGCCGUGCUCCUGGACCCUGCAGAACCCGGACCCUCGCCGCUACACCGUGUACAUGAAGAUCACCAAGCCCGCCCAAGUGUGCGUGCCGCGCCAAGUGAGGGCCUUCCAGUUCGACUCCUUCAUCGAGACCUCCCGCACCUACCUGGGCAUGGAGAGCUUCGACGAGGUGGUGCGCCUGUGCGACGCCGCCACCUCGGUGGCCUACCUGGAGUCCAGCAAGCAGUUCCUGCAGCUGCGCAAGGCGGCGCCUCAGCCUGGCGCGGAGUUGGCGGCGGAGGUCUCCGGCGAGGGCAGCGAGUUCAAGGCCGAGUUCCUGGUGGUGGGAAAGAGGAACCCCAGCAUGCCCGCCUGCCAGAUGCUGUGCCAGUGGCUGGAGAGCUGCCUGGCGGGCAGCACCCACAGCAACCCCUGCGGUAUAAUGGCGACCCCCUGCCAGUGCUGGGAGACGCCCAAGAGGAAGCCGGGCGGCUGCUACAGGGGCGGAGUCUACGUGGAGAAGUGUGCUCCGACGCUGAGGGACAACGGGGGCUGGAGUGGCUGGGGACGCUGGUCUGAGUGCAGCACCGAGUGUGGAGGUGGAGUGCAGGUGCGCAGCCGGGCGUGUCAGCCCGAGGAUGGCGUUUGUGAGGGCGUGGUCGAGGAAGGGCGUGCCUGCAACCCUCAGCCCUGCAUCGGUGAGUUGGAAUGGGUUGUUUCGCGUAGCCAGGCCCUGCGUUCCAUUGUCAGCCAGAAGAGGGACGGCGAACUGUUUGGGGUCCAGUCCCCUCAAAAUGUGGAUACCGUGCAGGAUGAGUGGUCACCAUGGAGCGCGUGUUCCAUCACCUGCGGCGAGGGAUGGCAGACCCGCACCCGUUUCUGCACCAGCUCCACCUACAGCACGCAGUGCACUGGCCCCCUGAGGGAGAACCGCCCCUGCAACAACACAGCCGUCUGCCCAGUGAACGGUGCCUGGGAUGAGUGGGCUCCCUGGAGUCUGUGCUCCUCCACCUGUGGCAGGGGUUACCGCGACCGCGUCCGCACAUGCCGUCAGCCUCAGCAUGGAGGAGAACCCUGCCGUGGCCCCACCAAACAGACCAAGUUCUGCAACAUCGCCGUGUGUCCAGGUAAGACAGUUGACGGUUACUGGAAUGAAUGGUCAGCUUGGAGCUCCUGUUCCUCCACCUGCUCCAAUGGGACCAUGCAGCGCACCCGCGAGUGCAACGGACCAUCCUAUGGAGGCUCAGAAUGCCGUGGUGAUUGGCUUGAGGCAAGCAAGUGUUUCCUGAAGGAAUGCCCAGUCAAUGGAAGGUGGCUCUCAUGGAGUGCAUGGAGUGGCUGCUCUAAGACUUGUGGAGGAGGGAUCCAAGAAAGACAAAGAGCUUGUGAUGGCCCCUUUUUUGGCGGAGAACCCUGCCCUGGCUCCAAAAGAGAAUCCAAGCAGUGUAAUGAAAAGAGAUGUCCAGAACCCCACGAGAUCUGCCCUGAAGAGAACUAUGGCAGUGUGGUGUGGAGGAAGACGCCUGCUGGAGAUACGGCAGCUGUGCCCUGCCCUGCUGAUGCCUCAGGACUAGUUCUCCGGCGAUGCACACUGGAUGCAGUGGGACUUGCCUUUUGGGAGAACCCGACCCACAUAAAAUGUGUCUCCAAGGAGUAUGAAGAAAUCCAGAUGCUGACACAGGAGCGCCACUCCAAGGCUCAGAGAGGUCUCAUGGUGGACGGGGUGACAGAGCUGAUUACAAGGUUAAAAACCACCUCAGACAACACAACGAGAUACAGCGGAGACCUGCUGGCCAUCAUGGAGAUCCUGAAGAAUACAACAGAAAUUUUCAGAAAAGCCGGCUACAGCCUGAGCAACAUAGAUGUCGAGAAUUUUGCCCAGACCAUCAGCAACUUGCUGAAGGACGAGCACCGGGACAAAUGGGAUGAGGCCCAGCUGAUGGGCGCGAGCACGAAGGAGUUCUUCAGUCUGGUGGAGGAGUUUGUGGACAUCAUCGGGGUCCAGAUGAAAGACUUCCAGGACAUUUACGAGGUCACUGAAAACCUAGAACUCAGCAUUCAGAAGAGGCCCAAGGCCAUGACCUCUGACAUCAGCUUCCCCAUGAGGGGGUGGAGGGGCAUGAUGGACCCCCAUGUAACGAUCAGUGUGUCUUUUUACCCAGAAACCGAGGACAUCACUGCCUACGUGACUGGUAUAGUUCUGUACCGAAACCUGGGCAACAUGCUGUCCAUGCAGAGUAACACCACGGUGCUGAACUCCAAGGUGGUGAGCGUGAUUGUGAAACCCACUCCGGGGCUGCUAACUUCUCCAGUAGAGAUCGAGUUCCCUCACCUCCACAACGGCACUGUCAAUGAGACCUGCAUUUCCUGGGACGAAAGUGAAAGCUCGUCUCUGCUCGGCUCCUGGACGCGGAGCUGCAGAGCGGUGCCCGUCGGCUCCUCCAGAACCAGAUGCGUCUGUGACGGUCUGUCCACCUUCGCCAUCUUAGCGCGGAUCAGCACGGAGCCGGACAUGGAUAAGACAUAUCUGCCCUCUGUGACUCUGAUUGUGGGCUGUGGGGUCUCCUCCCUCACCCUCCUCCUCCUCAUCAUCAUCUACGUCUCUGUUUGGAAGUACAUCCGCUCUGAGCGUUCAGUCAUUCUCAUCAACUUCUGCUUGUCCAUCAUCUGCUCCAAUGCCCUGAUUCUGAUAGGCCAGACACAAGCGCGCAACAAGGUGAUGUGUACGCUGGUGGCAGCUUUCCUCCACUUCUUCUUCCUGUCCUCCUUCUGCUGGGUGCUGACAGAGGCGUGGCAGUCGUACAUGGCCGUGACGGGCCGCCUGCGCAACCGCAUCAUCCGCAAGCGCUUCCUGUGUCUGGGCUGGGGCCUCCCCGCGCUGGUGGUGGCUAUCUCCGUCGGAUUCACCAAAGCCAAAGGCUACGGCACAGUGAACUACUGCUGGCUGUCUCUGGAGGGGGGUCUGCUCUACUCAUUCGUAGGACCAGCUGCCGCCGUGGUUCUGGGCGUCGCUGUGGAGCUCCUGCGUGGUUCUGCCUCUGCUGGCCCUCACCUGGAUGUCUGCGGUGCUAGCUAUCACAGACCGCCGCUCUGCGCUCUUCCAGAUCCUCUUUGCCGUUUUCGACUCCCUCGAAGGGUUCAUCAUCGUGAUGGUGCACUGCAUCCUGCGGAGGGAGGUACAGGAAGCUGUCAAAUGCCGGGUUGUUGA